rnacentral:rRNA from 1 species
UGCAGUCGAGCGGACAGAAGGGAGCUUGCUCCCGGAUGUUAGCGGCGGACGGGUGAGUAACACGUGGGUAACCUGCCUGUAAGACUGGGAUAACUCCGGGAAACCGGAGCUAAUACCGGAUAGUUCCUUGAACCGCAUGGUUCAAGGAUGAAAGACGGUUUCGGCUGUCACUUACAGAUGGACCCGCGGCGCAUUAGCUAGUUGGUGGGGUAAUGGCUCACCAAGGCGACGAUGCGUAGCCGACCUGAGAGGGUGAUCGGCCACACUGGGACUGAGACACGGCCCAGACUCCUACGGGAGGCAGCAGUAGGGAAUCUUCCGCAAUGGACGAAAGUCUGACGGAGCAACGCCGCGUGAGUGAUGAAGGUUUUCGGAUCGUAAAGCUCUGUUGUUAGGGAAGAACAAGUGCGAGAGUAACUGCUCGCACCUUGACGGUACCUAACCAGAAAGCCACGGCUAACUACGUGCCAGCAGCCGCGGUAAUACGUAGGUGGCAAGCGUUGUCCGGAAUUAUUGGGCGUAAAGGGCUCGCAGGCGGUUUCUUAAGUCUGAUGUGAAAGCCCCCGGCUCAACCGGGGAGGGUCAUUGGAAACUGGGAAACUUGAGUGCAGAAGAGGAGAGUGGAAUUCCACGUGUAGCGGUGAAAUGCGUAGAGAUGUGGAGGAACACCAGUGGCGAAGGCGACUCUCUGGUCUGUAACUGACGCUGAGGAGCGAAAGCGUGGGGAGCGAACAGGAUUAGAUACCCUGGUAGUCCACGCCGUAAACGAUGAGUGCUAAGUGUUAU